GGCGUCAUAGCUCAGUUGGGAGAGCAGCAGACUGAAGUACAGACUAGCCGCCUCUAAAUCUUUAUCUGAAGGUCCCGUGUUCAAGCCACGGUGAUGCCA